AACUCGUGCGGUUCGCCCAUCUACAGGGCGCCAAGAGGGAAGCAGGUGAAAGUCCUGCACAGUCCCGCUGCUGUGAAUCCCAUUGUCGGGCUGACGAAACAAGACCACUGGCGUUAACACGUUAACAGGUUAACAUGCCGGGAAGGUGUCGGUCCGGGGAUAAGUCAGAAGACCUGCCGCGUGAA
rnacentral:ncRNA from 1 species